rnacentral:rRNA from 1 species
GAUGAACGCUGGCGGCGUGCUUAACACAUGCAAGUCGAACGAAGCAUUUAAGACAGAUUUCUUCGGUUUGAGGUCUUUUAUGACUGAGUGGCGGACGGGUGAGUAACGCGUGGGUAACCUGCCUCAUACAGGGGGAUAGCAGCUGGAAACGGCUGGUAAUACCGCAUAAGCGCACAGUACCACAUGGUACAGUGUGAAAAACUCCGGUGGUAUGAGAUGGACCCGCGUCGGAUUAGCUUGUUGGCGGGGUAACGGCCCACCAAGGCGACGAUCAGUAGCCGAGCUGAGAGGGUGACCGGCCACAUUGGGACUGAGACACGGCCCAGACUCCUACGGGAGGCAGCAGUGGGGAAUAUUGCACAAUGGAGGAGACUCUGAUGCAUCGACGCCGCGUGAGUGAAGAAGUAGUUCGCUAUGUAAAGCUCUAUCAGCAGGGAAGAUAGUGACGGUACCUGACUAAGAAGCUCCGGCUAAAUACGUG